AAAAAAAUAAUAAUAAUAAUAUGGUGUGGUAUGGUGAUGACUAAUGGCUGUGUUGGUGGGGGAAAAUUGGUACGGUGUAUAGGUAAGAGUGGUGGUGAGGGAGAUGUGGAGUAGGUGUAGUUGUGGGAACUAUUAGGUAUGAAAUAGUAUAUCAUGACCGUUACUAUGACAAUAUGGAGUAUGUGUAUAAUGCCUAAAUGAUGUAAAAAAUGAACAGGAAAUAUGUCCAAAAGGUGUCGAAAAAUCCACCAAAAAUAAUAGAAUAGUUUCUAUUACAGCGAAAGUAAUUGUAAAAUAAAUUGUAGCGCAGAAAUAUUAUAAGAAAUAAUAUAAUGAGACUAAAGAAAACAAAGAAAACUAACUUUUAUGGGUUAAGAAUAGAACGGAAGUGACGUAGCACUUAUGCAUAUUCGGUAAGUUAAUUAUGCGACCAAAUUUAGAACGAACGAACGCUUUGACACAAGCCGAUGCGUUACUUUUUGGUUUGGAUCGGGUAUUCGUACCAAGACGUAGGGGCCUAAAGUAGUGUGGUAGUGAGGUGGGUGUAAUCGUAUGGUAUGGUGAUGCUGGAGGGUGAUGGUGAGGGAUGGCUAGUAAGGUGAUGUGGAGUGGAGAUGGUAGUGAGGUAAUUACGGUGGGGAGGUGGAUAGGUUGGACUAGUAGGUGGUGGAGGGUGGUGGAAAGAUAAAGUGGGACUAUAGAAUAGGUUGUGGUAGUGUGUGGUGGGUAGGUGAAAAAGAAAAAAUUAGUACUAAUAUGGUGUGGUAUGGAGAUGGCUAAUGGCUGUGUUGGUGGGGGAAAAAUGGUAUGGUGUAUAGGUAAGAGUGGUGGUGAGGGAGAUGUGGAGUAGGUGUAGUUGUGGGAACUAUUAGGUAUGAAAUAGUAUAUCAUGAUCGUUACUAUGACGAUAUGGAGUAUGAAUAUAAUGCCUAAAUGAUGUAAAAAAUGAACAGGAAAUAUGUCCAAAAGGUGUCGAAAAAUCCACCAAAAAUGAUAGAAUAGUUUCUGUUACAGCGAAAGUAAUUGCAAAAUAAAUUGUAGCGCAGAAAUAUUAUAAGAAAUAAUAUAAUGAGACUAAAGAAAACAAAGAAAACUAACUUUUAUGGGUUAAGAAUAGAACGGAAGUGACGUAGCGCUUAUGCAUAUUCGGUAAGUUAAUUAUGCGACCAAAUUUAGAACGAACGAACGCUUUGACACAAGCCGAUGCGUUACUAUGAAAUAGAUAAGUUCAGGUGAAUGAUGCGAAUUUGCACGGAAAAUAUGUGUAUUGAUGGAGUUACAUGAAAGACAAAGGGUUCUAACAGCGAUGGCAAAAGGUUAGAGUGUAGAAUGAUGCCGCACGUGUUAUAGGAACGGAGAUAAUUGCUUGUUUAAACUCGAGUGACCUCGUGCCUGACUCGAUGAGUGAACUGUUAGUAAAGCAAUUCACAAAGCAGAAACUAGCUUGGAGUUGUGUAUAAGAACAAAAUCAUUCUCCAGAAAAGAAUGUAAAACGGAUCUAACAGAUAUCCCCCAUUCAUAAUGAGGUCGUAUGUGUUAUAGGAACGGAGACAAUUGUUUGUCAAAACUCGAGUUGCCUCGUGCCUGAUUCGAUGAAUAAACCGUAAGUGAAGCAAUUAACAAAGCGGAAACCAGCUUAAAGUUGUGUAUCGGAACAAAAUCAUUCUACAGGAAAGAAUGUAAAUCAAAUCUUAAAUGAUUUAAUAAACGGAGAAGUUAUUGUGUAAGGUUAUGUUCGGGUGGUUAAGAUUAUGGGUUAUGAGACUACGGGUUAAGGUUGUUAUGAGAGAUGGGGUUGAUAAUAAAACGACAUGAGAGUUAUGAAUAGAGGGUUUUUUUUGUUUAGUAGAGAAGGUGGUUAGUAAAUAUGGUAUUAUUUGGAGAUUAAAACAGUUAAAAUCGGAAGCUUGUUGCUAGUGUUGUGUAGCGGAUGUGAAGAGGUCGGCGGCAUUAAUAAAAUCUGAUAAAGGGGGAUAAUGUGAGUGUGAACAGAAUGAUAAGCAGGGAUAUUGUGAAAAGACUGUGUAGUGUUUAUGGGAAAGUGUGUUGUGUGUAGGGUGGGAAAGUAAUGUGUAGGAUAAGAGAAAGAAAAGUGUUUGGAUUGUAGGGAGGAAAUGGUGAGCGGUAAUAGGGGGGGGGGUUAGGUAUGCGUGGAGGUAUGUAUGUAAUGAAGUGUGUAAAUGGUAUGACUGACAGGCGAAAUUAAACAACAACAGAGACCGAAUGAGUGUUGCGAAAACGCCGAGAAAAGAUAAAAAAUUCUGUAGCGGUGAAAGGGUGUAUUGCGGACAAUGGAAAUUGAUGCUAGUAAAACGGCGAGAAGAAGAUGAAGUAGGGGCGCGGGAGGCGACAAAGGGAGCGUGGUGAGAGUGGAGAUGACGCUGAAACGUUAACAAGACAGGAAGGAUAGUUUUCCCCAGAUGAAGCGAUAAUCGGUGGUAAGAGAUAAGGGGAAAAGGCAAAGGCACGAAGAAAACAACCGGCAUGUAUAUGUAAAAUGGACAUAACAAAAUAAACCAAUAAGACAAAAGUGUGUAGGUCAUUUCAAAGAGCUCUGCGAAAUGUAGAACUAAAGGCAUAUAACGCCAACCAAGACUUCUCUUCAGGGGGCGAGGUCUAUUGGUUGGUCAUAUACGAACCUAGAGAUGAAAGCGGGGGGACUUAGGGGAAAGCUAGGGGAAAACCGGCGAUGAUGGUGGGAGUAAAAGGGGAAAAAACUAGGGAGAUGAUUCGUAUAUGAAACGUGUUUCGAAUGAUAAGGCCCUCAUCACCCGCCCCUACACGCUCGUUAGUAAUGCCUCUAGUGUAGCGUGGUGCAUGCAAUGGCCAAACCUGUGUAGCGCCUGGCUCCGGCUGAGUGCAUGGCUUGGUCUGAAAAGUAAAAGGUAGCGCGCCGGGGAAUGAGGUAAAGAGAAAAAAGUGGAUAGAGGCUAAGAUAGGAGGGGGAAGUGUGUAGUGGACAAAAUGGUGCAUGUGAUGGUCCUGGUUAGUGGCUGUAUGUGGUGGACUAAAU